AGGCCGGGGACAUGGAAGCCCAGAAGGGAGCAUUCACUGUAGGUGCCCAAUGAAGGCAUUUUCUGAUUCAGUGACAGCCACAGAGCAGGGCCGGAUUUGGAACAAGAGGCUGGGAAAACAACAGAAAGCACAGAUAUGACAGUUUCAGCUCCCUGAAGACACUUCCUACCAGUCGCAGUUGCAGCAGCAGCAGCAGCAGCAGCAGCAGCAGCAGCAGCGGACACACGUAUUGGCACCAAGAGAGACAUUGCUCAAGAAUGGAAGAAUACGUGCAGCUUAACAACUAAAGCUUCAGAACCCUGGUCAUCCAUCGCAUCACAGGUAAGGCCCUGUUAGGAAGCGAGUGUCCGGAUG